GGAUGGAAAUGGAGAAAGAACCUGAACAAAAGGAGGUUUAGUGGCAGGUCCAAAGAGGGAUCCCCAGGGCCUAACACUAAGGCAAUGGAAUGCUCAAAAAGGGGACCUAUUAUGACGUCUCUCUGAAAAACCCAACAAGCAGCUGAAAGAUUUAGAUGCAGAUAUUUGCACCCAACCAAUGAACAGAAGCUUCUGACCCCUGUGGUUGAAGUAGGAAAAGUUGGAAGAAGCUGAGAAGGACGGCAACCCUGUAGGAGGACCUGCAGUCUCACUUAUCUGGACCCCCGAUAGCUAACAGACACUGGAUCACCAACCAGGCAGAAUACACCAGCUAAUAUGAGGCCUUCAACGCAUAUACAGCAGAGGACCGCCAGGUUUUGGUUCAGUCAGAGAAGAUGUGCCUAACCCUCAAGAAACUGGAGCCUCCGGGGAGUUUAGAGAUCUGAAACACAACUACCUUUACUGGGAAAUUGAAAACAUAAUUUGGUGCAAAGGAAAAAAGAGUUAGCUCUCAGAAACCAAAGAAAUCCACAGAAGAGGUACUCGCUAAGAGUGGUUCAAAAAGAACCUUUUUAUGGAAGAAAUAGGAGGACAAUUGUCAGGUGACAAAUAGAACUUGAAGAAAGGUCACUUGUUUUUAUUACCUUCGGGAGAACAUUCUAUUGUAGGUAUUUUCUGCUUUAAAUAUUCAGCAAUCUAUAAUUAAAUGUGUUCUUUCGUUAUAUUAGGAAAGGAUUUUUUUUUCUUCCUUUCAAUUUCACACAUUUCUAGAUACUAUAGUCUUACAUCCACAAUUAAUUUUAAGUGACCAGGUAUAUACUAUGUAUAGUGUUCACACUAUUUGUUGCUUAAAAGUUACAUUGAUUGCACACCAACAAUGACUGUCUGUGAGUGGUGUUGUGUUUAGAGGGAGGUAGACUACAUUCGUGUCACACAGGUUAUGCUAAUGAGUCCGUUUUCCCAGAACACAGCCAGAAAUGAUUCUUGGUUUUCUCCAGUUCAGGUUAUUUUGCUGUUUUUGUCUCCCUUUGAAUUCGUUGAAAGGGGAGUAAUCCAAAAGUUAAUUUUCCAAGUACUACAAAGAACAAAGUUCGAGGAAGUGAGGGAUAGCAAAGUUGAAUUAAGUAUAUAUGGCUUCGAUUUUAAUUGAGCCACAUCUGUAAUAGGGGUCAUCUAAGAAUUUCACAAUUAAACUUCAACUGAUAAGAUAUUUUACUUAUUUUCAUUUUUUCCAAACUAUGGUCUAUACGCAAACCUGUGAAUUAUGCCUUAUGAUCC